rnacentral:rRNA from 1 species
AUGGCGUUUGACGUGACGUCGAGUUGGAGCUUCAUCCAGGCGUCCUCGAGCAGCGCCUGGCGGCUGGUUCUCUCCCGAGGUGAGCUUCCAUGGUGGAAGUCGACAGCGGGUGGUAGAUCUGGUGAUAGCUCCCCUAAUAAGCUCGAAUCUUUCCCUGAUCUGGAGGAUCUCCGUCGCCUUGUUCCAUUUGUUCGUCGCUGUCGUGGAGAUGGGGACAGAAAGUGGAAGAGGUGGAGCGCAAGUUUGUUUCGAUUGGGUUUGUGCAUAUUCUCAUCGGUGCUUGGAGUGGAGCUACGGCGCCCACUGGAGCUGCCGGUCUCCGACGCCUCCCCGGUGACCUUUCUGGCCGAAGGGCGGCCUGGUGAAGCCGCUUCGUUUCUUCCUCCUGGCUUGAUGCCAUUUGAGAGGCAGCUGUUCAACUUCAACAUGGAGUCCUCUUCUUCCAUCUUUGUCCGGAGAUGGAGUAGUGGCGGUCCUGUGAUCCCAAGUGGUCACGUCCCCGGUGAUGGCCGGACUGGAUCUACGCUGGAGUUGAGUAUUGGACCCGAUUGUAAUCUUAAUCAUCAGGAUGGGGUCCUCCUUUUUAGUUUCAGGGACUAUGAUGUAAUUUCCUUUUCUUUUGAGUCCAGGUAUGAGCUCUGUACUGCAUCCGCUGAUAGUUAA